rnacentral:rRNA from 1 species
UACGUAGGGGGCAAGCGUUGUCCGGAUUUAUUGGGCGUAAAGAGCGUGUAGGCGGCCAGGUAGGUCCGCUGUGAAAACUCGAGGCUCAACCUCGAGAUGUCGGCGGAAACCAUCUGGCCAGAGUCCGGAAGAGGAGAGUGGAAUUCCUGGUGUAGCGGUGAAAUGCGCAGAUAUCAGGAAGAACACCCGUGGCGAAGGCGGCUCUCUGGGACGGUACUGACGCUGAGACGCGAAAGCGUGGGGAGCGAACAGG